UCACAAGGUGAAGAUCUCAUCCUCGCUGUCCCCAGUGUCCCCAGUGUCACAAGGUGAAGAUCUUGUCCCCAGUGUCCCCAAUGUCCCCAGUGUCACAAGGUGAAGAUCUCGUCCUCGCUGUCCCCAGUGUCCCCAGUGUCCCCAUGUCACAAGUGUCACAAGGUGAAGAUCUCAUCCUCGCUGUCCCCAGUGUCCCCAGUGUCCCCAGUGUCACAAGGUGAAGAUCUUGUCCCCAGUGUCCCCAGUGUCCCCAGUGUCACAAGGUGAAGAUCUCAUCCUCGCUGUCCCCAGUGUCCCCAGUGUCCCCAGUGUCACAAGGUGAAGAUCUCGUCCUCGCUGUCCCUGAGCGCGGCCGCCCGCGGGUUCCUGGUCAGGGGUCGG